CGAGUUGGCCAGGCAAUCGCUGUAGUAAUGUCUCUUUCAUUCGCUUGCGUUUAAAAGGGUGUAUUGCAGAGGAAAGUCCGGGCUCCAUAGGGUAGUGUGCCAGGUAACACCUGGGGGGCGAAAGCCUACGGAAAGUGCAGCAGAGAGUAGACCGCCGAUGGCUUUUUCGAAAGCACAGGUAAGGCUGAAAGGGUGCGGUAAGAGCGCACCGCGUUGCUGGUAACAGUAGCGGCAUGGUAAACCCCACUCGGAGCAAGACCAAAUAGGUUCCCGUUAGGCGUGACCCGCGUUGGGAACGGGUAGGUUGCUUGAGGUAAGCGGUGACGCUUAUCCCAGAUGAAUGAUUGUCCUCGACAGAACCCGGCUUAUCGGCCAACUCAAUUU
rnacentral:RNase_P_RNA from 1 species